AAUGAACGCUGGCGGCAGGCCUAACACAUGCAAGUCGAGCGGAGCGGCGGACGGGUGAGUGAUGACUAGGAGUCUGCCUGGUAGUGGAGGAUAACGUCCGGCAACGGGAGAUAAUACCGCAUACUAUCAGAUGAGCCUAGGUCGGAUUAGCUAGUGGGGGGGGAAAAGGCCUACCAGGGCGACGAUCCGUAACUGGUCUGAGAGGAUGAUCAGUCACACUGGAACUGAGACACGGUCCAGACUCCUACGGUAGGCAGCAGUGGGGAAUAGUGGACAAUGGGCGAAAGCCUGAUGCAGCCAUGCCGCGUGGGUGAAGAAGGUCUUCGGAUUGUAAAGCACUUUAAGUUGGGAGGCGUUACCAACAGAAUAAGCACCGGCUAACUUCGUGCCAGCAGCCGCGGUAAUAC
rnacentral:rRNA from 1 species